rnacentral:rRNA from 1 species
UACGUAGGGGGCAAGCGUUGUCCGGAUUUAUUGGGCGUAAAGCGCUUGUAGGCGGCCAGAUAGGUCUGCUGUGAAAACUCGAGGCUCAACCUCGAGCUGUCGGCGGAAACCAUCUGGCUAGAGUCCGGAAGAGGAGAGUGGAAUUCCUGGUGUAGCGGUGAAAUGCGCAGAUAUCAGGAAGAACACCUAUGGCGAAGGCAGCUCUCUGGGACGGUACUGACGCUGAGACGCGAAAGCGUGGGGAGCGAACAGG